rnacentral:rRNA from 1 species
CCUACGGNNNNNNNNNCAGUGGGGAAUCUUGGACAAUGNNNNNAAGCCUGAUCCAGCCAUGCCGCGUGAGUGAUGAAGGCCUUNNGGUCGUAAAGCUCUUUCGCCAGAGAUGAUAAUGACAGUAUCUGGUAAAGAAACCCCGGCUAACUCCGUGCCAGCAGCCGCGGUAAUACGGAGGGGGUUAGCGUUGUUCGGAAUUACUGGGCGUAAAGCGCGCGUAGGCGGACUAGUCAGUCAGGGGUGAAAUCCCGGGGCUCAACCCCGGAACUGCCUUUGAUACUGCUAGUCUAGAGUUCGAGAGAGGUGAGUGGAAUUCCGAGUGUAGAGGUGAAAUUCGUAGAUAUUCGGAGGAACACCAGUGGCGAAGGCGGCUCACUGGCUCGAUACUGACGCUGAGGUGCGAAAGUGUGGGGAGCAAACAGGAUUAGAUACCCUGGUAGUCCACACCGUAAACGAUGAAUGCCAGUCGUCGGGUAGCAUGCUAUUCGGUGACACACCUAACGGAUUAAGCAUUCCGCCUGGGGAGUACGGUCGCAAGAUUAAAACUCAAAGGAAUUGACGG